rnacentral:rRNA from 1 species
AUUGAACGCUGGCGGCAGGCCUAACACAUGCAAGUCGAACGAGUGGCGGACGGGUGAGUAAUGUCUGGGAAACUGCCUGAUGGAGGGGGAUAACUACUGGAAACGGUAGCUAAUACCGCAUACUAUCAGAUGUGCCCAUAUGGGAUUAGCUUGUUGGUGGGGUAACGGCUCACCCAGGCGACGAUCCCUAGCUGGUCUGAGAGGAUGACCAGCCACACUGGGACUGAGACACGGCCCAGACGCCUACGGGAGGCAGCAGUGGGGAAGAUUGCACAAUGGGCGCAAGCCUGAUGCAGCCAUGCCGCGUGUAUGAAGAAGGCCUUCGGGUUGUAAAGUACUUUCAGCGGGGAGGCGUUACCCGCAGAAGAAGCACCGGCUAACUCCGUGCCAGCCGCCGCGGUAAUAC